rnacentral:misc_RNA from 1 species
UCCGGUUUGUCACCGGCAGUCUCCUACGAGUCCCCGACAUUACUCGCUGGCAACAUAGGACAGGGGUUGCGCUCGUUGCGGGACUUAACCCAACACCUCACGACACGAGCUGACGACAGCCAUGCAGCACCUCUACCGAUGUCCCUUGCGGGAGGGCCUCAUCUCUGAGGACUUCAUCGGCGGUUCAAACCCAGGUAAGGUUCUUCGCGUUGCGUCGAAUUGAACCACAUGCUCCACCGCUUGUGCGGGCCCCCGUCAAUUCCUUUGAGUUUCAACCUUGCGGUCGUACUCCCCAGGCGGGGUACUUCCUGCGUUAGCGCCGGCACCCAGAGGGUCGCUCCCCCAGGCACCUAGUACCCAUCGUUUACGGCGUGGACUAC